rnacentral:rRNA from 1 species
GAUCAUGGCUCAGGAUGAACGCUGGCGGCGUGCCUAACACAUGCAAGUCGAACGAGGUAAAUGAGAUGAAGUUUUCGGAUGGAUUCUUAUUUACCGAGUGGCGGACGGGUGAGUAACGCGUGGGUAACCUGCCUCAUACAGGGGGAUAACGAUUGGAAACGACUGCUAAUACCGCAUAAGCCCACAGGUCGGCAUCGACCAGAGGGAAAAGGAGCAAUCCGCUUUGAGAUGGCCUCGCGUCCG